GUGUACAACCAUACACCCAGAACAUUCCUGAUCUCAUCUGAUUUCAGAAGCUAAACGGAGGCAGUCAUGGUUGAUACU
rnacentral:rRNA from 1 species